rnacentral:rRNA from 1 species
GUGCAGCAGGCGCGAAAACUUCACACUGUGCGAAAGCACGAUGAGGGAAUCCCAAGUGCUUGCACGUAAGUGUAAGCUGUUUCUCUGUCUAAAACGCAGAGAGAGUAAGGGCUGGGUAAGACGGGUGCCAGCCGCCGCGGUAAUACCUGCAGCUCAAGUGGUGACCGUUAUUAUUGGGCCUAAAAACGUCCGUAGCCGGUUUAAUAAAUGCCUGGGUAAAUUGUGUAGCUUAACUAUACGAAUUCCGGGUAGACUGUUAAACUUGAGACCGGGAGAAGUUAGAGGUACUCCUGGGGUAGAGGUGAAAAUUCUGUAAUCCUAGGGGGACCACCAGUGGCGAAGGCGUCUAACUAGAACGGGUCUGACGGUGAGGGACGAAGCCCUGGGGCGCAAACGGGAUUAGAUACCCCGUAGU